rnacentral:rRNA from 1 species
GUAGUCAUAUGCUUGUCUCAAAGAUUAAGCCAUGCAUGUCUAAGUAUAAGCAAUCUAUACAGUGAAACUGCGAAUGGCUCAUUAAAUCAGUUAUCGUUUAUUUGAUAGUACCUUACUACUUGGAUAACCGUGGUAAUUCUAGAGCUAAUACAUGCUAAAAACCCCGACCUCUGGAAGGGGUGUAUUUAUUAGAUAAAAAACCAAUGCCUUCGGGCUCCUUGGUGAUUCAUGAUAACUUUACGAAUCGCAUGGCCUUGUGCCGGCGAUGGUUCAUUCAAAUUUCUGCCCUAUCAACUUUCGAUGGUAGGAUAGUGGCCUACCAUGGUUUCAACGGGUAACGGGGAAU